GCUCGCUUGGUGAAAUUUGGUAAACACGAUGGAUUUAAAAUUCAUUCUCAUUUUUAAGAGUUACUGGUUCAAGUCCAGUAGCGAGUA
rnacentral:tRNA from 1 species